rnacentral:rRNA from 1 species
CCUACGGGAGGCAGCAGUGAGGAAUAUUGGUCAAUGGGCGUAAGCCUGAACCAGCCAAGUCGCGUGAGGGAUGAAGGUUCUAUGGAUCGUAAACCUCUUUUAUAAGGGAAUAAAGUGUGGGACGUGUCCUAUUUUGUAUGUACCUUAUGAAUAAGGAUCGGCUAACUCCGUGCCAGCAGCCGCGGUAAUACGGCGGAAGCGAGAGUUAUCCGGAUUUAUUGGGUUUAAAGGGUGCGUAGGCGGCCUUUUAAGUCAGCGGUGAAAGUCUGUGGCUCAACCAUAGAAUUGCCGUUGAAACUGGGUGCCUUGAGUAUGUUUGAGGCAGGCGGAAUGCGUGGUGUAGCGGUGAAAUGCUUAGAUAUCACGCAGAACCCCGAUUGCGAAGGCAGCCUGCCAAGCCAUGACUGACGCUGAUGCACGAAAGCGUGGGGAUCAAACAGGAUUAGAUACCCUUGUAGUC